rnacentral:rRNA from 1 species
AACAAACGCUGGCGGCGUGCCUAAUACAUGCAAGUCGAACGGGGAAAGCUUUCGGGUGAGUACUAGUGGCGCACGGGUGAGUAACGCGUGGAUAAUCUGCCCUCGAAUGGGGAAUAACUAGUCGAAAGAUUAGCUAAUACCGCAUAAGACCACGACUACUGAGGUAGUUGGGGUCAAAGGAGCAAUUCGUUUGAGGAUGAGUCCGCGUAAGAUUAGCUAGUUGGUGAGGUAAUGGCUCACCAAGGCGAUGAUCUUUAACUGGUCUGAGAGGAUGACGAGUCACACUGGAACUGAGACACGGUCCAGACUCCUACGGGAGGCAGCAGUAGGGAAUAUUGGACAAUGGGGGCAACCCUGAUCCAGCGACGCCGCGUGAGCGAUGAAGGCCUUCGGGUCGUAAAGCUCUGUUGUAAGGGAAAAAGUUCUGAUUGUACCUUACGAGAAAGGAUCGGCUAACUUCGUGCCAGCAGCCGCCGUAA